GACGAACGCUGGCGGCGUGCCUAACACAUGCAAGUCGAACGGAGUAGAGAGCUUCGGUUUUCUACUUAGUGGCGAACGGGUGAGUAACGCGUGAGAAACCUGCCUUUCAGUGGGGGACAACAGUUGGAAACGACUGCUAAUACCGCAUAAUGUUAUUUGGGGGCAUCCCCGAAUAACCAAAGCUUUAUGUGCUGAAAGAUGGUCUCGCGUCUGAUUAGCUAGUUGGUGAGGUAACGGCUCACCAAGGCGACGAUCAGUAGCCGGUCUGAGAGGAUGAACGGCCACAUUGGGACUGAGAUACGGCCCAGACUCCUACGAGAGGCAGCAGCGGGGAAUAUUGGGCAAUGGGGGAAACCCUGACCCAGCAACGCCGCGUGAAGGAAGAAGGCCUUCGGGUUGUAAACUUCUUUUACCUAGGGACGAAGAACGUGACGGUACCUGGAGAAAAAGCAACGGCUAACUACGUGCCAGCAGCCG
rnacentral:rRNA from 1 species